rnacentral:rRNA from 1 species
GAUGAACGCUAGCUACAGGCUUAACACAUGCAAGUCGAGGGGAAAUGAUAUUGGAAGCUUGCUUCCGAUAGGCGUCGACCGGCGCACGGGUGAGUAACGCGUAUCCAACCUGCCCAUCACUUGGGGAUAACCUUGCGAAAGUAAGACUAAUACCCAAUGACGUCUCUAGAAGACAUCUGAAGGAGAUUAAAGAUUUAUCGGUGAUGGAUGGGGAUGCGUCUGAUUAGCUUGUUGGCGGGGUAACGGCCCACCAAGGCGACGAUCAGUAGGGGUUCUGAGAGGAAGGUCCCCCACAUUGGAACUGAGACACGGUCCAAACUCCUACGGGAGGCAGCAGUGAGGAAUAUUGGUCAAUGGACGAGAGUCUGAACCAGCCAAGUAGCGUGAAGGAUGAAGGUCCUACGGAUUGUAAACUUCUUUUAUAAGGGAAUAAAACCUCCCACGUGUGGGAGCUUGUACGUACCUUAUGAAUAAGCAUCGGCUAACUCCGUG